AACUCACAUCACAACUCGUGAACUCUGAGCUUUCGGAAACUUUCCACGUGAAUACCACAUGAGGGGGGCGUUCAUAUGGACUCUUCUCGUGAACGCGGUAAACACGACCCCAUUUGAAGGCAACAUAAAUGGGUGAAAGUUAAAAUUAGAGGGAAUGU